rnacentral:rRNA from 1 species
UACAGAGGGGGCAAGCGUUAUUCGGAAUUAUUGGGCGUAAAGGGCGCGUAGGCGGCUUUUCAAGUGACGGGUGAAAGCCCUCGGCUUAACCGAGGAACUGCCUGUCAGACUGGAAGGCUUGAGACCGGGAGAGGUGAGUGGAAUUCCCAGUGUAGCGGUGAAAUGCGUAGAUAUUGGGAGGAACACCAGUGGCGAAGGCGGCUCUCUGGGACGGUACUGACGCUGAGACGCGAAAGCGUGGGGAGCGAACAGG